rnacentral:snRNA from 1 species
UGGAGAUACCAUGAUCAUGAAGGUGGUUUUCCCAGGGCAAGGCUUAUCCAUUGCACUCCGGAUGUGCUGACCCCUGCGAUUUCCCCAAAUGUGGGAAACUUGA